ACGGCUCAGUAACACGUGGAUAACCUGCCCUAGGGGAGGGGAUAACCCCGGGAAACUGGGGAUAAUACCCUAUAGGUUACAGAUGCUGGAAUGCCCUGUAACCAAAAGCUCCGGCGCCCUAGGAUGGAUCUGCGGCCGAUUAGGUUGUUGUUGUUGGGGUAACGGCCCAACAAGCCCGUAAUCGGUACGGGUUGUGGGAGCAAGAGCCCGGAGUUGGAUUCUGAGACACGAAUCCAGGCCCUACGGGGCGCAGCAGGCGCGAAACCUUUACAAUGCGGGCAACCGUGAUAAGGGAACCUCGAGUGCCUGUAAACGCAGGCUGUUCAGGUGUUUAAAACGCACCUGGAGAAAGGGCCGGGCAAGACCGGUGCCAGCCGCCGCGGUAAUACCGGCGGCUCGAGUGGUGGCCGCUUUUAUUGGGCUUAAAGCGUUCGUAGCUGGGUUGUUAAGUCUCUUGGGAAAUCUGGCGGCUUAACCGUCAGGCGUCUAAGGGAUACUGGCAAUCUUGGAACCGGGAGAGGUGAGGGGUACUUCGGGGGUAGGGGUGAAAUCCUGUAAUCCUCGAGGGACCACCUGUGGCGAAGGCGCCUCACCAGAACGGCUUCGACAGUGAGGGACGAAAGCUGGGGGAGCAAACCGGAUUAGAUACCCGGGUAGUCCCAGCCGUAAACGAUGCGCGUUAGGUGUAUCGGUGACCACGAGUUACCGAGGUGCCGAAGGGAAACCGUGAAACGCGCCGCCUGCGAAGUACGGUCGCAAGGCUGAAACUUAAAGGAAUUGGCGGGGGAG
rnacentral:rRNA from 1 species